CGAAGUAAAAGUCGUAACAAGGUUUCCGUAGGUGAACCUGCGGAAGGAUCAUUAAUGAGUUGUCAUGGGGUUCGAUGCUGGCAGCCAGUUUUUGGAUGCAUGUGCUUGCCCUAACAAUCAUCUUCUUCCAAACACCUGUGCACAUUUUUGAGGGAGUCUUGAGUUGGUUGCCGCUCUUGGGUGAUUUUCUCACAUUCCCUUAAAUCAUUAUACGCUAUUAACAAUGUUAAACGUGCUCUGUGCCGCAAGGCCAUUAAUAUAAUACAACUUUUAACAACGGAUCUCUUGGCUCUC
rnacentral:misc_RNA from 1 species